UUAUCAUAAUUUUAAAAUAAUUUACAGAAUGUUAUAAAUUAUUAAUAAAAUUAAAUUUACUAUAUAUUGAAUAUUUGUUUAUUGUUAAAUAUUUUUUAGAAUUUCUUUUUGAUUUAUAUUUUCCAUCGACACUACUAAAAAGGAAAGCCCUCUAAAUACUUACCUUAUUUUGUAAUUUCGAUAUAUCAUUUAAUUCAUCGAUCCCACUAUAAUAGGAAAGUACCAUUGAAUACUAAUUGCAAGGGAAAACAUAAUUUAAUGACCAAUUAACAUCACUUUCCAAAUGACUUACAUAAUAUUAUUAAUAACUAUUUAUGGUAACUAAUUGUCGAAAGUAUAGUAUAUAAAUCCAUUUUAUUAAUUCAAAUAAAUAUUUUGGAUUCCAAAUGACUUACAUAAUAUUAUUAAUAACUAUUUAUAGUAAUUAAUUGUCGAAAGUAUGGUAUAUAAAGUCAUUUUAUCAAUUCAAGUAAAUAUUUUGGUUUAUUAUUUUAUGUAGUCUAUAGAUAUAUUAGAAUAUAAAGUCAUUUUAUCAAAUCAAAUAAUUUAUUUUAGUUCAUCGAUCCCCUAUAAAAGGAAAGUAACAUUGAAAACUGAUUGAAAAGGAAAAAAUAAUUUAAUCUCUCUAUUAACAUUACUUGCGCAACAAUAUUAGUUAAUACAUGUAAUAAUUAGUUUCCUUAUUACAAAUGGAAAGAAUUCUCUUGAUUUUGUUGAUUGAAUUUCUUUUUCGAUUUAUUUUAAUCAUCGACACUACUAAAAAUGAAAUCACUUUAAUACUUAACUUUUUUGUUUUUUCGAUUCAAAGAACAUCUUUUUGCGAUCAUUUCUCUGUUUAAUUCAUUAAAUACUCACUAAAUAUUUUAGAUGUUAGAGAAAUGAAAUUAAUUGACAAGAUAUUUUCUCUCCUAAAAUCAUGCAUUUAAAACUUAAUAUUUAUGGUGAGACUUGUCAACCAAAAUUCUGGUGCAAUCUAUUCACGAGAUGUUCUCCUUUAGCUUUAUUAACAAGAUAUUCCAAAAAUAAUCUAUUCUAUUAAAAGGGAAGAAGUUUUAAAAAAUCUACCUAUGAAAAGUUGUUGGACCCUUUCAUUAGCUUAAACUAUUUUUUUGGUCUCACCUUUUAUUUCUCUAACUAUGCAAUAGUCAAUUAUCUUAUAUUUUUCUAACUAUGCAAUAAUCAAUUACCUUAUAUUUCUCCAAUUUAGUUUAACAAUAUAUUCUAAAAAUAUAUAUAUUCUAAAUAUAUUGUUAUGAUGAUUUUUGAUAAGAAUAUAUUAUAGAUGCGAUUGAAAAUUUUUAUUAUUAAAGAUUUUUUUUAAAAAAAAUUUAUAAAAGAAUUUAUAACAUCUAUAUAAAACUCUUUAUUUUUUAUCCUACCAUUAACUACAAUAACUAUAAAUAAUUCAAAUAAAUCCUAUUAUUAUUUCUCAUUUGGUAUGAUACACUUCUUUAAUUAUUUUUCUUAUUAUCAUCCAAUGUUAUUGUUGUUAUUAAUAACGUUAUAUACAUCAUAUAUUAUGCUCAAAGAUGGAUAUAUAAUAUUUAGAUAUCAAUUAUUAAAACGAAAGCAUAUAUCAUACAACAUAUUAUAUCAUGUCAUCUAACAUUAUAUAAUUCUAAAUAUUUACAAAAUCAAAUUUAAUAAAAAAAUACUUUAGCAAAUCAUUUGUCAAAACAAAAUUAUAUAUAUUUACGUUAAAUUAUUUUUUAUUACAUUAAUAUAUUAGAAGUUUCAUUCAUCUCUUAAAAUAUUAUUGAAGAUUAUUUUUUUCCUACCAUGUAAACCAAAUGUCGGGUCACACUUGAUUGCGGGUUUUUUCGAAGUUUGCAUGCUUUAAAUUAACGAGUUUUCAUUAAAUCUAAACCAGCUUAUGUACAAGUCAUCGUGUUUACUGGUUCGACGACGGGUCCAAACUUAAUAUAAAAGUACUGUUCUCAUCUAAUUGAAAAUAAUUUAUUUUAAAAUAAUAGACGCACUGAAUCUGAUCAAUCCAUAUAAUUUUUUUUUGAAAAAAGUAAUCAAACGAUUAAAAAUAUAAUUACAUAAUAAUAAUUUUUUUUGACAUAAUAAAAUUUUGUAACAUAAUAAUGUAUAACAAGACUAAAAUACUAAUUCAUAUCAUAUAUCUUUAUCAACUGAAAAAUAACCCGCGCUUUUAAGCGCGGGUCAAAAUCUAGUAUUACCUUAUAAGUAUAAGAUUUAUUGAGAAUUUAUUAAAGAAUAUUCUAUUUCUUAGCUUAUCAUGCAAGCUAAAUCAAUGAGAAACGUCUACCAAUUUACUAUAAAUAAGACAUUCACAGUAGAAGAAACGAAAUAAUUGAACUUUGUAUUUUUGUAUUCUGAACUUUUAAUGUUAAUAAUGUUCUAAACUUUUUUUCUUCUUAUUUUAGAACAUUAAGCUUUUAUAUUUCAUGAGAGCUGAUUUUUCUUUUGGUUUAUAUGCAGAUACCCUAUUAUGACAAUUUCUCCACUGAAGCUAUAUAUGAUUUGAUUGUACACCUCUUUGAUAUAUCAUUUCGAUAACAUCUUUGUUCCUCAAUCUGAGAUGAUUUGAGAGAAGUGGUCAUAUUUCAGACCUCUAAGAGUUCACCAUUCCGAUCCUGCAAAAGAUGUGCACUUAGAAUGGCUUGAGUUUAUCAGAAGAUCAAAUUAAGAGUUUAUCUUUGGCGGAGAUUGAAUCAAUCAUGCGUUUGAACGGAAGCUCAUUUACAUUGUUUAAGUUUUGAAACGUGUUAUCAAUAGUAUACUCUUCUAUUGGUUAAGAUGUGGCUUUUGUUAGAUUUUCUAUUAAUUAAUUUUUUUUGUUUUACUUUUGUGGAAUUCGCGAUAUUGUAAUGUUGUAAAUAAAUACUAAAGACAUUUUUCUCACUAUUAAUAGGUGAGAGAGAGGGAGGGAGAGAGAGGGAGGGAGAGGGAGGGACGGAGAGAGAGAGAGGGAGGGAGGAGGGAGGAUGAGAGGGGAGAGAGAGUGGGAGAGAGGGAGAGAGAGGAUAUGUUUAUGUCCGCACAGGGUGCGGGGCCGGUCACCUAGUAAAGAUUAAUUCUCAAAUGUACUUCAGUUUUAAUAGAUUAGAUUACUAAAACAGAACGGUUCCUAAUAUGAUUCACUCUGCAAGCAAUGAUUCACUGCAUUUGGCAGGAACGAAACUAAAGACGCAAUGGAAAAAAACCAAUGGAAUCGUAACGUUUGAUUAAAACUGUGGUCCGUGGAUAAUAGUUAGCAACAAGAACGUGAUCUAAUUUUUACCACAAAAAAAAAGAACAUGAUCUAAAUAUAUUUUUUUGAACUAA